GUUGCCAAUCUCCUGGGGGUGUUUGGCGAUCUCCUGGAAUUUCAGCUGAUCUCCAGGCCACAGAUGCCAACUCUCCAGGAAAAAACGCUUUCAGGGCUCCCUCUGCUGGCCAGAAUAGGAACCAUCAAGAGCCUUCCAAAAUCUCGCACACAUCUUCAACCAGAAAAACUAGUCCUGAGGAGUGAAAGUGUGAUUAGGGGAACAUGGAUUCCGUUAUACCCAUUUACAAACACCUUAUAGAAGGGGCUUGUUACAAGCACAAAAUUGGGGACAUUUUGGUUUUCAGCCGAAGCAUUAAUUUUGGCCUUGGGGCACCAAGGAGGAAAAAAGCACAACUUUUCUGUUCAUGGACAGGUCCUAAUUUGAUCAGUGGCAAGGUAGUUCCCCAUUUCCACCUUGCCAGGCCCUUCCCCACCUUUUGGUACUCUUUGCUGCGGAUCAUCAGGGAAGAAGCUAAGGUGCAAGAGAAAAAAAGCCAUGUAAAUCAUGUAUGUAUGUGGAAGAAGUCUAAAACAACUGCUGCUGGAUACUCCUUGCUACCAAGACUGUCGGGCUGCACGUGGUGGAAGCAAUCAGAAGACAAGAGAAUACGGGACUGAAUCCACUCAGUCUCGUCUAGCGCCUCUCCAUAUUACAGCCUCCAUCCCACAUGGUUUUGUACAUGCAAGUUCCAUGAUUCUCAGCAGAGCCUUUCUGUGCAGUCCCAAAGAGGACACUGUUAUCAGAACUGCUAUUUAUGGGGAAAUUAGCAUGCAGUCUGGGUUUAAAUUAGUACGGAUCUUAACCAGCUAUACCAGAGUCCGUCUUCCAGAUUACUCAUGCAAUAAAGAGGCAAGACUAAUAAAGAUAAAACGUGUUUUACUAAUAGUGUUGCGUAUGCCUACAAUAACACACACAAGCAAGGUACAUACAAGAACUAGGAAAUAAAGAGUAGGAAAAAUAGAGCCGUUUGCAUUAGCAGGAGAACCCACUUGAGAUCGAUGAAUAGGGGUAAUACGCACCUGGUCACGGCGAAGAAUAAAGAUGUAGCAGCGAAGCAGGGUGAUAUCUAAUGCCUGCACUAGACACGCAGAGUGACAGUCGGGGUUGAG